GUCGCACCUACCGAUUGAAUGGUCCGGUGAAUACUCGGGAUUGUGGCCUGGCGCCUUCACUGGGGCCUGGCCGCGAGAACUUGUCUAAACCUUAUCAUUUAGAGGAAGGUG
rnacentral:rRNA from 1 species